GGAACUUCCCCUGAUUGCUCUCUGCCUACCUGUUCUCAGGCAAGGGGGAUGAAGGAGGCAGAGGAAAUAUUGAGAGUCUUUAGAAGAGCCAAGAUGGCUUUUGGAUUGCUCUCCUGUACUAUUUUAGACAUGUGGUUUGUAUACUUAUGUAAAGGGAUGUGGGUGGCGCUGUGGUCUAAACCACUGAGUCUCUUGGGCUUGCCAAUCGGAAGGUCAGCAGUUCGAAUCCCUGCGAUGGGGUGAGCUCCAGUUGCUCUGUCCCAGCUCCUGCCAACCUAGCAGUUUGAAAGCACGCCAGUACAAGUAGAUAAAUAGGUAUCCCUCCGGCAGGAAGGUAAACGGCAUUUCCGUGCGCUCUGGUUUCCGUCACGGUGUUCCUUUGCACGCCAGUGCAGGUAGAUAAAUAGGUAUCGCUGCAGCAGGAAGGUAAACGGUGUUUCCGUGCGCUCUGGCACUCGUCACGGUCUUCCGUGUGCCAGUAGCGGUUUAGUCCUGCUGGCCACAUGACCCGGAAAACUGUCUGUGAGCAAAUGCCGGCUCCCUUGGCCUAAAAGCAAGAUGAGCGCUGCAACCCCAUAUAGUGGUACCUCGGGUUACACAUGCUUCAGGUUACAGACUCCGCUAACCUAGAAAUAGUACCUCGGGUUAAGAACUUUGCUUCAGGAUGAGAACAGAAAUCGCACGCCGGUGACGUGGCGGCAGCAAGAGGCCCCAUUUGCUAAAGUGGUACCUCAGGUUAAGAACAGUUUCAGGUUAAGAACGGACCUCCAGAACGAAAUAAGUUCUUAGCCCAAGGUACUACUGUAGUCGCCAUUGACUGGACUUAACCGUCCAGAGGUCCUUUACCUUUUACCUAUACUUAUGUAUGUGUGUUUACCUUGUGCAAUUAUUGACAUUCAUUCUCUAUUUGAGACCUUAGAAUUCCUAUAAUAAAUCACAAACCGUGACAGCUUCUGUAACUCUGGGACUGGAAAAUAGGGGCCCUUGGAGGAUCUGGUAUUGCCAUUGCUGCUGUUUAAGGUGAGGGCCGGAGUAUGUAUUUUGAGUUGUGGAGGGGUCAGUACCCUCUUAAUGUGGCUUGCAGGGGGACAUAUGAUGGGAGAAGUAUGCCACCAGCAUACGGAACAGAGAACAGUCAUUUUGAAUCUCUUCUUUCCAGUUCUUCUCCCAGCCAACAGUUUCCUGGUUGUCUUGGCAACAGCUCUCCAAGUAUUAGAAUGUUUCUGCUAAACUCCAGGUUGAUGGCCAGUAGAGAACCUGAGAACUUCCUGUUGCAUGAAGCGUGGCCUACCAGCAAUGUAAAUAAGUACAUAAUAAAAAAGUGACAAGACCAGGAUUCCAUCCUGCAUAAGUAUACUCUCAGGAUCCAUGUCAAGGAAUCCCUUGACAGUGCCCAGAGACAGUCAGGUCAUGUAUCCACAGCAGUGACCAGAAGAGGAAUGACCGUUGGAAGGAGUGUAGAAGGAAGAAACACCAUGGCGUAUCUGCAGGAGCGUAACCGGAUGCCUUCAUCUGCCCCAGCCGCAACAAAACAUCUUUCCCAUAUUGGUCCCAUACAGCCACAGCAGGCGCUAUAACUUUCCAAUGUUUUAACUUCACCCCCAAAGGCGCUCUCCUCCUUUGUCUCCUGAGGCAGAUGGAUGCCAACCAAUCGUCUGGUUAUGGUGAGAUUGAAAUGGCUCCUUUAUCAUGGACAACGUCUAACUGCUAGGGUUGAGAUUCACUCGGGUUCCUUAACUCUGCAGCGGUGGAGGGCCCACAUAAUCUGAUGGAUCUGGAGUAAUCCCUGACCGUUCUGAUGGGUUUUCCUGUUGUUCCAUAUGGCAGUCCUUUCAAAGCCCUGCUCCAUCUUUGGAAUGGGGAAAAUGAUCCAGGUCGUUAACAUGAUCCCUCCUAAACGCUCUCUUUCGUUUCCAUUUGCUGGAGACCAUGUUGUUUGGUUUUCUGACGAUUUAAGGGGCGAGUAAGUGGCUGGAGGAAGACUCAUGAAAUAUGUGGCUGAACAUGGGGUAGAGCACAUUAGCAAAAUGACCUCUCUGCCAGCAUUACGUCAACCCAUUGCCAUCCAGUGGAGAAUAGAAUAGAAUAGAAUAGAAUAGAAUAGAAUAGAAUAGAAUAGAAUAGAAUAGAAUUUAUUAUUUAUACCCCGCCCAUCUGGCUGGGUUUCCCCAGCCACUUUGGGCGACUUCCAACAAAGUAUUAAAAUACAGUAGUCUGUUAAACAUUAAAAGCUUCCUUAAAGAGGGCUGCCUUCAGAUGUCUUCUAAAAAUCUGGUAGUUGUUCUUCUCUAUGACAUCUGGUGGGAGGGUGUUCCACAGGGCUGGUGCCACUACCGAGAAAGCCCUCUGUCUGGUUCCCUGUAACUUGGCUUUUCACAGUGAGGGAACCGCCAGAAGGCCCUCGGCGCUGGACCUCAGUGUCCAGGCUGAACGAUGGGGGUGGAGACGCUCCUUCAGGUAUACUGGACCAAGACCGUUUAAGGAGAUGACUGAAUCCAGGAGGAGAGAGAAUCCAGGAACAAAAUGACAAAAAAACCACAUGGCAACUUAAAGACUAGCUAAUUUUAUUCUGCCACAAGCUUUUGUGGACUUUUACCCACUUCACCUGUUAGUCUUAAUUCAUUAGCCUUUAAGAUGCCUCAGAACUUUGAUGUUUUUUGCUGCAGCCUGGCUACCUAGGUCUCUCAGGGAAUUCAAGGAUAAGUGGAAAGGCUUCUCUGUGCACGGUUGCAUUGAUUGCUUCUGGGUAUUUAGAUGUGAAAAUGACCCAGAGUGCCUUCACACAGUUUUGGCUGGUGUGCCAGCCGUGCUUUUUUCCCGAGAGAAGACAUAUCUAACCACUGUCUCACAUACCUCGAUUGCAUCCAGAUUUGAUGAUUGCAAUGUACUCUACCUGGCAGUAUAUAUUGACACAAUGCUGCAGCAGAAGACUGCAACAAAGGAACCCCUAGCAAGACAGAUAAAGCUGUCUGUCACAUUAAACCUAGGCAGAUAAAUGGUUCUACAGCUGGUGCCAAACAGAUAAGAGACUGUCCCUAUUUGGGGUGAGAUUCAAUCAUAUACUGACAAACUCAGGUUGCACAAUUACAUUGAUUUGGAGCUUUUGCAUGACAAACCCACUUUCCCGAAAGAUCAGACUUUUUGUGAUAAGGAAAGUGACAGGAAGAUGCACUAGAAAAUGUGGAAUAACUCUUGCUCAAUGCAAUGUCGUCAAAAAUGUGAGAACCAAACAUCCUUUAAAAUUCACAUGUACCUGAAUUUUGUAUAUCAAGGGAAAGUGUGCAUAAAACACCCAUAUUAGUGAAAAUACAACCAGCAAAAAAUUAUAUAUAUAAUUAAAUUUCUAUAUCGCCAUCUAAGGAUCACAGGGCUGUUAAAAAAUUUAAAAGCACAACAUACUACUAAUUAAAACAGCAAUGGUCAAAACAAGAAUGUGUUAAUUAGAGAAAUUUGCAGUGAAAUGCUGAAGAUUUUUUUAAAAAAUUCAAAUUGCAGUAGAAAUGUGAAUUUAAGAAAUGAGUAACUGCGAGAACAGUUUAUCUAACUUCCAUCCCUACUAGUUUUAAAGGUGAGGGCAGGUUCAUAUGCAAAGAGGCAGCCCAUGAGUGUGUACUGGAUGCAGUGGUGGGCUGGACAAGAGCCAAGAAGCUGAAACUGGACCCGAACGAGAUGGAGGUGGUUCCCAAGUCCAGGAAUAAGCCAGGUGGCCUGUUCUGGAUGGAACUGUACUCCCUAUGAAAAUACAGGUGCAUAGUCUGGAAGAUUCGAGAGGGACAUAUAUGGCCUCCGGCAAGGACACUUUCCUAAUAUAAGGGGAAAUGGCAGGUCCCUGCCCAUGAGGAAUUUGCAAUGUAAAUUUCAGCAGUGGGAGAAGCCAGAGGGUAACCAAGAGAGAAGGAAUGGGGAAUUCAAAGUCAAGGCUGAAUGAAACUACAGCCAGUUGUGUGCAUUGGAAUCGUUUUUGCUUGAGGGGGAGCAUGAAGGGAUUGAACCACAUUCUGUCAGUGGGUUUUGAUAAAGGAUUUUGAAUAACCUAAGAGAGGUUGCAGCACGAAGGAGUUCUGGGCUCUGUAUGUGGAUCUGCCCUUCUUGGAAUUCAAAACGCCUAUUUCAGGUAGAGACCAUAGGUGGCAUCAAGCAGUACAGGUGCAAAACGUCACCUGAACCCCACAGGUUUCCUGUAUUGGUGUGGUGGAACCUGAUUGCUUAUAUAUAUGCACUGCCUUGUUAUAAGAAUUUUAAGGUCCUAUAUAUAAAACAUAAAUGUUCAUAAAUGUACCAAGCAAGCACAUACAUAAAUGUAUAAACCCCACAGAAAAAAACUCCAGAAACUGUUUCGUCUCUCCCCAAAUUGACCUCAAAUAUGUCUCUGCAAGGUCGAAGGAAAUGGGGAGCCUCGCCACUGUCUCUUUGCUCACAAAUCCUGUCUCAAGGGCACAUUUAAGAUAUGAAUAGGGUGAGCCUGUGACCUGGAUUCAGGAAUUGAGCAGUUAUCAUAACAAAAGAGUGGCCAGGAUGCCCAGGUAAUCCAAUCAGGUAACCUGGCAGACAGGAUAAAAACAACGCACUCAGAUUUCUGUUGUAGUCCACCCCUUUUCUGAUGUAUAGAUGAUGUACUGGGGGGUGGUCAUGGGCUACACCCCUUCUGUGAUGUAUGUAUGACGUAUGGAGGGGUGGUCUUGGGCUCCAGGGUGGGCAGUUCAAAAGUCUAUAUAAGGGCGCACGGUUCAGGGUCCUCCUCCUCUCUCCUGCAUGUGGGGGGAAGCACCCUGUUGCUUUAAUAAAGAUCAGGCUUACUAGCUGCUUUGCUUCUCAAUAUUCUCUGUUUGGCCUCUGUCAUUUUCUCCUACCAAUGGAGAGCCUACAAAGGACUCUGUAAGGGCUCUUGUGUACCUGUGAUAGGAAUUUUGAGGUCUUAGAUAUAUGGUAAUGCUCAUAAGUGUACCAACCAAGCACGUACAUACCGUAUUUUUCGCUCUAUAAGACGCACCAGACCACAAGACGCACCUAGUUUUUGGAGGAGGAAAACAAGAAAAAAAAUAUUCUGAAUCUCAGAAGCCAGAACAGCAAGAGGGAUCGCUGCGCAGUGAAAGCAGCAAUCCCUCUUGCUGUUCUGGCUUCUGGGAUAGCUGCGCAGCCUGCAUUUGCUCCAUAAGACGCACACACAUUUCCCCUUACUUUUUAGGAGGGAAAAAGUGAGUCUUAUAGAGCAAAAAAUACGGUAGAUCAGCACAGGAAGACCGGCCUGAAACCAUUUUGAUUCCCAAACUGACCAAAUGUUUUCCAUGCAAGGGGGAGGGGGGUCAGGGAGCCUUCCCAUUGUUUCAGGAAUUGAGUAAUCAGCAUUUUAAUGGGUGGCAGACUAUCAGGAAAGACAACCAGGAAAGGCAAUUAGAUAACCUGGCAAACAGGAAAAACAACAUUCAAAUUUCUGUUUUAUUUUCUCCUACCAAUAGGGAACCUAAUGUAAGGACUCUAUAUGGGCUCUUGGAUACCCCAUAAGGCGAAAAGGGCAGAUUUUUGUUUACAACAUACCGCAUAAGGGAAAGGGAGUAGUUUUUGUUUAUAACAGCCUUCUCCUGUUCCUAUGGGUCCUCAGAUCAAAAUGCAUGCUGGGCUCCAAUGUAGAAAUAAUGGAGGACAGCAUGGGAGUUGGUAAUGCAGGUGAGCUGUGCAGAAGCAAGCUAGCAAGCAUGCUCCAAGCAAGCUGCCAGCUAGCUCUGCAGAGGCUCCUUUUAUUAGCAGGUCAACAAUUGGAAACAGUAGUGAAAUCACCCUGAACUUAACGUAUUUCCAUCUAAGCACAUUUCCAGCGUUAGCAAAUACACGUGUCAGCAGGUGUUUCCCUCAGAUGUUCCCCCCGAUACUUGAUUACGUCUGUCCCCCCCCGUCAUGCUCCAGCCAAGCGAUAUGUCCAAGCAAACUAAUUGUGAAAGGACCCCUGUAUUCUAGCCAAGAAGGCAAAAGGUCAAGGAAAGCAGGCAUAAUGCUCCUUGACAUACUGUUGCACGUCUGGUGUGAGGUUUGCCUUCGCAAAGCAGAGCGUUACCUUCACACUCCAACAGGAGGCAACAUAGGGCACAGGUUGACAACCCUUGCCCUCAGCAGGGUGUGCCAACUGUCCUCCUGCCUUCCAGGAGCCCCCCAAUGUGGUGAGCCUGUAACAAGACAUCUUGGCACCUGAGGUGGAUCCUGUGAUGAAUUUUGAUGUCUUAGAUAAUGUUAAUGGUAAUGUUCAUAAGUGUACCAACCAAGCAUGUACAUAGAUCAGCACAGGAAGACCGACCUGAAACCAUUUUGAUUCCCAAACUGAGCAAAUAAUUUCUCUGCAAGGUCAAAGUGGGAAACCUCCCCAUUGUCUCUUUCCUCACAAAUCUUAAGGGCGCAUUUAAGAUAUGAACAGGGUGUGAGCCUGUGACCUGGCCCAGGAACUAAGUACCGCAUUUAUCAUUACAAAAGACUGGCCAGGCUCUCCAGGUAAUCCCAUCAAGAAAGCAGGGUAUCCAAUCAAGUAACCUGCCAGACAGGAGAUAAACAAGGACAGGAGAAAAACAACAUUCAAAUUUCUGUUUUAGACCGCCUUUUCUGUGAUGUAGAUAGGAUGUAUCUGGGGGGUGGUCUUAGGUUACACCCCUUCUGUGAUGUAUGUAUGAUGUUUUCUGGGGGUGGUCUUGAUCUACAUGGUGGCAAUUUCAAAAGUCUACAUAAGGCCUUGCGCACCAUUUUUCUGGGUUCCUCCUCUCUCCUGUGGGUGAGGGGAGCACCCUGUUGCAACAGAUCAAUAAAGAUCAGGCUUACUAGCUGCUUUGCUUCUCAAUAUUCUCUGGUUGGCCUCUGUUAUUUUCUCCUACCAAUAGGGAACCUAAUGUAAGGACUCUAUAUGGGCUCUUGGAUACCCCAUAAGGGUAAAGGGCAAUUUUUGUUUACAACAAUCCUAACAUGGUAUCCCCCUCUGCACCAGGGAAGAAGGGGUGAGGGAAGAUCUACAUCAGGAACAAGGGGGGCGGGGCAAGAAAAAUUGACAUUGGGAUCUGCUGAGCCAGUGAAUUGUGGAGCCUGAGGCGGUCGCCUCCCAUUGCCUCAUGGGUGAGGCGGCCACGGUCUGUGAGCAAGUACCGCUGUGCCUCCGGCUCCCAUGCAGCUGCCUGUAAAAUGGACCUGGAAUUGCUUGAAAGUCUCAAGGUGCCAGCAUCAUCACCAGCCUGUAAAUUUGCCUAAGGUUGUAAAUUACAGGGCUGUAAAUGCCUCUCCUUUGUCCAGGCUGGCAGGGUGGGGGCUCGAGCCAGAAAGAUCUAAAAGAAUAGAGAUAAACAGCCCUCGGCUGUUUUUCACUUUUUUCAAGCAGGGCAAAUAACUGGUGGUUUAAAAACAACAACUGUAUCUUCCUAUCUGCUUGUUUUUUGUGUGUAAUGGGGGUGGAAAUACUGCAAUUGCCAGUGGUUUUUUAAAUGCUUGGAUUUGCAGAAAUAAUUUGAGAAGCCUUGUUUAGCAAUCCCCACCCCCAUGGAAGAAAUCAGAUUAAAAAAUAAUUGUCUGUAAUAUUAUUUUCUUCUUCUAUUAUUAUUAUUAUUAUUGGACUUCCGGGUUAGCGCCAUCGCCGAAUGGCGGACUCCCUCCGAGCUCCGGAGGGAGUCUGCUCGGCAGGGGCUGGGUCCUACCGCGCCGGCGACGCGGGGACCCUUAAAAACCACGGGCACGGAGUCCGUGGACAUGGGUGACUCGGCUUGCACCAUUAGCGCCCUCCCGACUCGUGAAGGAGCCUUUUUAAAGGCUUCGGAUCGGGUGCCGGGAGUGGCGUGGUGCUUGAGUCCACUGCUUUCCCUGCCGAGCGCAGCCGCAUGCCAUUCGACGGAGAGCGCUGACUUCUUCUAUUGAAAAUUUGGACUAUUAACAACAACCCGUGAGUAAUUGGGAAACCGGGUUCAAAAUUUUGGAUUUGGCACGACCGGGGGCGAUUUAAAAAGGAAGUCAAUCCCCCCCCCUAUUGUAAGCAUUCCAAAACAAGGACCGGGUAACCAAGGUCCAAAGGGAAGUAUGUCUCUGAUAAAAAUCAUUAAUUUCACGAUGGGAAAUUAUAAGAAAUGUGCUGGAGGAGAAGAGUGGAGGGUGAGAAGAAAAUGCAACCCCCCUGGGAACCGGGGCGAUUCGUGGAGCCUGGUGAAGAGAGACGGAGACUUUGACAGCUGUCAAAGUGGCUGUCAAAGCUGGAGAAUAUAAAGAGGACUUUAUGAGGACCUUGCUGGUUAAUUUUGUUACAAUUUGCUAUAAUAUGGAUAUAAACUGUUGGAAAAUAAGCAACAAUUUGACUUUUGGAUUAGAGGAUACAAAGUUAUUACAAACCCCUAGAGGGGUUUCUGGAUACUACAAGAACGGUCGUAAGUGGAAAAAUACCCUGGGAUUCGCACAGGAUUUGUUAUCUUCUGGGAAAGCUGCAAAACUGAAAGAGUAUUUUGUCUACAGAGGAAGACAAUGGAAUUUUUAUUGAAGAAAGAAAGGGACUGGACGUAAGUUUUUGUUCCUGAAUAACAAACCUCUGCAGAGACACUAGAUUUCUGAAUUAGAAAGUUUUAGCAGCUGAACAGGACAAGAAACCUGAGAAAGUGAGGAAUAAGAAGAAUAAAGGACUGAUUACGACACGGAAAGAACAACGGGAGGAGUGGUAAAGAUCAAGGAAAUUAAAGGCCUUUGUUAGAUUGGACAUUUGAAGUCAAAUAUUAUUUAAAUUAAUAAACUAAAAGAAAACCGGCAAGAUGGAAUCGGGAGAAAUCUGGUCAUGAAAUGAGACUUCCAAGCUGAUAAUGUAUAGACUGAUGGACAUGGGGAAUUCAAACCGGGGAAGGGGGGGGGGGAGAUUUGAAAUCCAAAGGCUGUGUAACCAUUUGUUGAAUUUUUCUAUAUCUCUUAUUUUCUAUGUCUUUAUAUAACUUACGCAUGUUAUUUUACUUUGAUCGGACGUGUUUAAAAAAAAGGGAAUUUGUGGAAGGAACUGGGGUGGAUCUUGGGGAAAAACUUUUUUCUUUUUCUGUUAAUGAUGUGGGACGGUGGUAAGAUUUGUACAAUUCAAUCUGGAUAGUGGGUUAAACAAAUUAAGCUUUAGAGUGGGAGUGAGCUUGUAGAACCAAAUUAAGGAAAGGGAAUACAAUUGGGGGAGGGGGAGUCCCAGAAAGUAGGGAAUGAAAGUAAGGUUUUUAAAUAUCUUUUUUCUUUUGUCUUUUUUCUUUGUAUUUUUAUAUUUUUGGAAACUUUAAUAAAUAUGAUUUAAAAAAAAAAUAUUAUUAUUAUUAUUAUUAUUAUUAUUAUUAUUAUUAUUAUCCCAUCUAACUACUUGAUGCAUUUCCUUCCUUGAUAUUUUUAAGUCACAUUGAGUUAUUUUUCUCAAAAAAUGACUUAUACUUUCUACCACCACCUCUUUUUUAAAAAACUUCAGAAAACUGUCGGUAUUUUCAUUCAUAGUGUUUCUAGCUCCUUCAGUUUCAGUACCUACAUUGUUGUCAAAAAAAGAACUAAUUUUCAGGAGGGAUUCUUAUAACUACAGUGCUAGACUGGAGAUAGUUUGUUAUUCUGGGCAUUUUAAAAGUCCCAUUGAUUUCUCUCUCCCUCUCUCUCUCUCUCUCUUAAAUUCAGUAUUUGUUCUUGCAAGUUCUGUACGUUUUGAAUGUAUUGAGCUACAGAACUCAAUAUCUCAGAAGAAAAUGUGGAGGAACUGUGUUAAUAUUGUUUUGAAAGAAAUACAUGUUGUUUGAAUAGCAAGUCGAAAAGGAAAGGAAAAAGGACUCCCUCUCUGGUCCAAAAUUAUACCAGUGAAAUGUAAAAAGGUUUGCAGUGGGUUUUUGUGCAGAAGGAUUGAGCUCAAUUUAGUUCUGGUACUCAAAAGCGAAUUUCUGUGCCAACCAUUCUUCCAUUCCCAUUAAAAAUAACAAAAAGUCCUAUGACACAUUAAAGACCAGCAAUUUUGCUAUGGCAGAAAUUUUCAUGGACUCCAGCCCACCUGUCAGAUGCUGUAAAUCUUGGUUUACAGGUAUAUAAAGGAGAAAAUUAUGAGAGUUGAAUGGCAUUCGUAUUCCCAAAGAUAGUGAAAGCUUAACAACAUGUGCCUUUUUCAGUAGCACACUGGCGGUAAUUUCUAGGGACAAGAAAGAUGGGUUUCUGCUUUGAGAAGGGAAGAGCCAAGAAACCCAUGUUUACGCUGGGUUCCAGGGCCCCUAUUAACUUGGAGUCAGUCUUGACAGAGGGAUCUAUCUUUAUUGUGUACCUUCCUUGGUGGUGUGUUAAGUUUUUAUGAAUAUUCAGUUGCCAUUUUUUUUUUUGUAUUGAUGGGGUUUAAAAUUUUACAUUUACCAGAGAUCUUCAUGUCUAGGUGAGGGAUUUGAUCCCUGGUCUCCCACUCUAACCACACUGAUUCUGUCUGUAUAGUUAAAGCUAUGGUUUUCCCAGUAGUGAUGUAUGGAAGUGAGAGCUGGACCAUAAAGAAGGCUGAUCGCCGAAGAAUUGAUGCUUUUGAAUUAUGGUGCUGGAGGAGACUCUUGAGAGUCCUAUGGACUGCAAGAAGAACAAACCUAUCCAUUCUGAAGGAAAUCAGCCCUGAGUGCUCACGGGAAGGACAGAUCCUGAAGCUGAGGCUCCAGUACUUUGGCCACCUCAUGAGAAGAGAAGACUCCUUGGAAAAGACCCUGAUGUUGGGAAAGAUGGAGGGCACAAGGAGAAGGGGACGACAGAGGACAAGAUGGUUGGGCAGUGUUCUCGAAGCUACCAGCAUGAGUUUGACCAAACUGCGGGAGGCAGUGGAAGACAGGAGUGCCUGGCGUGCUCUGGUCCAUGGGGUCACAAAGAGUCAGACACGACUAAACGAUUAAACAACAACAAUAACAACAACAAAAAAGUCACCGCUUUUUAUUUAGCUCAGGGCAGCCCAACUUUUCAUACCAAGUGGGCCACAAGAGCACUUUGACAAGGACUCAUGGCUGCACACUGCUUUGUCGCGUAGAGCGAGGCCAAAAUUUGACACCCCCAAGCAAGCCGAUCAGGUGCCUGGGGCGGCGCACAUGCCCUGCACCCAGGGGCGGGGCCUGCAGCCCAUGGCGCGAGCCGGGACAGGACGCUCUUUGGGGCCUCUGAGGAGUCUGCCUGCCUCCUGCCACUCAGCCAUCCUACAGCUGAAGGGGAGGCGGCGGGCCAACCAUUUGGGGCAGCACGGAGCCUGUGGGCGUCUAAGCUACUGUGUCACUCCCAGGAGUGACGCGUGGCUUAGGGCACUGCAGGCCCUGCUGUGAGUGCUGCCCGGCAUUUUGUCACCCCCCUCAGUGCUGACAUCCAGGGUGGCCCGCCCCCACCGCACCCCCUUCCUCCUCCAAUGCCCCCAACCCGGCCCUCAUGCUGCCUUCCCAAAGCUGGAUAAGAAAGGUGUUGGGCUUUGGGAACAAGGCAUAAGGCUUCUCCCCGAAGCCUGGUUAGUGUUUUCCCCCAGCUUUGGGAAGGUUCUAGGACCUUGUCAGAAUACCCUGCGUGGGUUGGUAGCAGGGCAUCAAAUGUCGCUGAGGGCCGCCCAAAAAAAGACCUCAUGCCCUUGCAGCACACAUUGGUCCAUCCUGAUUCAGAUCCCAACAAACCUUGCUUUCUACCUGCUUAAAAGUGGUUAAGAGAGGUAGAUUCGUAACCUGGUGAACCGGGUUCGCGUCUCCGCUCCUCCACAUGCAGCCGCUGGGUGACCUUGGACCAGUCACACUUCUCUGAAGUCUCUCAGCCCCACUCACCUCACAGAGUGUUUGUUGUGGGGGAGGAAGGGAAAGGAGAAUGUUAGCCGCUUUGAGACUCCUUCGGGUGGUGAUAAAGCGGGAUAUCAAAUCCAAACUCUUCUUAUUCCCAGUGGUGUUAGUGCUUUACAUCACUAUCCAAUCCCAGUGCUGAGCCGUGAUAGUUUUCCUUCUCACUGACAAAACAAAGCAUAUCCUGUUCUUGCUCCCCACGCUGACAUCCAUACAAAUGUGCUUAUCAGCCAGUACCGCUGGGGCUGCUCUGGGCCUUCCCAGAAAGAAAGAUGAAAGUUAUUGAUUUUUGCUGCUCACAACUGGGAUCUCAUUAAGAUAGAGGAUCUAGCAAAUGGGGACAGCGAAGGACUUUUGCUGCUGCUUCCCCUCCUGCCCCUCUUCCUCCCCGCUGUCAAGGCUGAAUUAAAUUUUUUUUGGAUGAGGGUGGGGAGAACCGGUGCAGCUGGAAAACAUGAUCAACAGGUCAAUUUAGCAACUUCAACACUAAUUCUUCUUGAACAGCCGGUAAGAAGAAUCUUGUCUCCCGGAGACAACAAAAAGUGAACAUAGUUCAGUGGUACAGAACGUGGACCUUGCACUCAGAAGGUUGUCCUGUAUGUUCACAUUAGCAGCUUGAGAGGCAGUGACGUCAUUGUGCUUCAAGCACAAUUUUGUUCACAUCAGAGAGGCAGGGUGGGGAUGUCUUCACCCAUUGCGCAUGCUUUUUUUGUUGUUUUCCCCCACCCCUGCAAACUCCAUUGGAACUCCAUUUCACAAAGUUGUCAUUUGCACACGCACAAUGGCGAUCUCAGAUGUUCACAUUUGUUAAGUUUUCUAAUUGGAUUGAACCUCGUUUGAGAGAAAAAUGCAUCAAGCAAGAGUAUUUGUUAUGUCCCCAGCUCCUAGCUAACAGGGUGGCCUAAUUUGUGAGUGUGUAUGUGUGUGUAUGGGACGUGGGUGGCGCUGUGGGUUAAACCACUGAGCCCCUCGGGCCUGCCAAUCAGAAGGUUGGUGGUUCGAAUCCCCGCGACGGGGUGAGCUCCCGUUGCUCGGUCCCUGCUCCUGCCAACCUAGCAGUUCGAAAGCACAUCAAAGUGCAAGUAGAUAGGUACUGCUCUGGUGGGAAAGUAAACGGCGUUUCCGUGUGCUGCUCUGGUUCGCCAGAGUCAGCCACGACUGGACCUAAUGGUCAGGGGUCCCUUUACCUUUACCUUAUGUGUGUGUGUGUGUGUGUAUCCAUAUACAAGAUUUGCAUAUGCACAGCACAUUGUAUGCAAUUUGUGGCAUAGGCCUAUGCCGCAAAUCAUUUAGCAACACCCCAGGCUAGUUGGACAAAUGGUUUGUCCUGAUGAUGUAAAGCAGUUUCCUAUCUUCUUUUGUGUGUCAUAGAAAUGGCAUUCAUUAUGGGUAGCAUUAAACUAAGUUUUACUCAAAAUAGAAUUUCUGAAAUGAAUGGCCCUAACGUAGUCAUAGUCAUUAAUUUCAUUGUGAUUACUCCCAGUGAAAUUUACUUGAACACCACCCUGGGUGUUUAUUUUAAUUAUGCUUUAUACCUGAGUGGUGGUGCAUUGUAUUUCUGCUUCCUUUGGAAGAAAAAGAGCAAUAAACAUUUAGAAUUUCUUUGUAAAACAAAAACAAACGCUCUCGAUAUUUAUAUUUUGACCAGGCUAUUCUGCUUUUCAGUCUUGCUCAGUUUUGUAGGUAUUUAUGCCAACCUGUAUCACUUGAGCAUAGCCAAAUAUUUUAAGGAUGGAUGCCCAUAGCUCUUCUGACAACCAGAUGCCACAGACAAGCUUUGGCUGAUGAGCCAAUUGUCCCUCCUAUGCCACAAAACAGUUUCCCAAAAAGAAAUGGGACCCAACUUUGAUCCACCUCUGAUACUUUAGUUAAUAGCUUACUAAUGAACAGAAUCACCCAGCUGGAAGAGGCAAUAUUCUGUGCCUGUCAUGUAGCCAGUCUGAUGGCAGCGACGUAUUGUGACCUGAUGGAUCUAAUGCAGGGGUAGGCAACCUAAGGCCCAUGGGCCGGAUCCGGCCCAAUCACCUUCUAAAUCCGGCCUGCGGACGGUCCGGGAAUCAGCGUGUUUUUACAUGAGUAGAAUGUGCCCUUUUAUUUAAAAUGCAUCUCUGGGUUCUUUGUGGGGCCUGCCUGGUGUUUUUACAUGAGUAGAAUGUGUGCUUUUAUUUAAAAUGCAUCUCUGGGUUAUUUGUGGAGCAUAGGAAUUUGUUCGUAUUUUUUAAAAAAUAUAGUCUGGCCCACCACAUGGUCUGAGGGACGGUGGACCGGCCCACAGCUGAAAAAGGUUGCUGACCCCUUAUCUAAUGGCAGCUUUCGCCCCUCAACUGAGCCCCCCAAUCUGUGGAAAUUGUGUAUGUGUGAUUCAUGCCUCAUCAUAAGUGGAAACUUCCUCUUAAAAUGCUGUAAGAAAGUAGAGGCUGUUUUGACCCAUGGUGGCGCUUCAAUCCAUCCAGCCCCCCACUCUCCCCACCCAUUCUGAAAAUGUCCUCACCCUAAAAGAAUUCCCCCCCCACCACCAUUUUCUGCCACAACAACAUAAGAGACUAAAAAGUGCUACUGUCAUGUUUUUGGUUUUUGGUUUAAACUCUCUCAGGAAGCCUUAGGAUUGUGAAAAUAUUGAUGUUCCUUUUUUGUCCUGGAGAUAUAACUGCAUUGUCCGUUAUCAAGUAAGAUAGAUGGUCUUCUCCCUAGGCUUUGGUGUAGAUUGAUUGUUUGCUUAGCAACCUCUGAUUACUUGUUCAGACUUGUCCAGGCUAAUGUCAUUUACAGGUUACAGCUACCAGCCAAGAUGGGGGUCGAGACCAAUGUUUUGCACAUGGGCAGGCUUGGCAGGAGCCGUGGGGGAGAUGGGAUGGAAAUGCAUGCUGAAUAGAGGCAAGGAAAAGAAAGAAAUACUCUGCAGCUCAUCCCCUCCCUUAUCCAGGAUCCCUAAUUCUGGACAAACUUGGGAUAUAGGGGUUGAGGUGGAAGCAGGGCUUAAAGUGCUAAAUUAGACACAUAAUAGGGACACGGGUGGUGCUGUGGGUUAAACCACAGAGCCUAGGACUUGCUGAUCAGAAGGUCGGCGGUUCAAAUCCCUGCGAUGGGGUGAGCUCCCAUUGCUUGGUCUCCUCCUGCCAACCUAGCAGUUCGAAAGCACAUCAAAGUGCAAGUAGAUAAAUAGGUACUGUUCCAGCGGGAAGGUAAACGACUUUUCCGUGCGCUGCUCUGGUUCUCCAGAAGUGGCUUAGUCAUGCUGGCCACAUGACCCGGAAGCUGUAUGCUGGCUCCCUUGGCCAAUAAAGCGAGAUGAGCACUGCAACCCCAGAGUCAGCCACAACUGGACCUAAUGGUCAGGGGUCCCUUUACCUUUAUGAAAUGAAUGCCUAGGAUUACUACUACUACUACUACUACUACUACUACUACUUGCCAGCAAGUUUGGAAAACUCAGCAGUGGUGAGAGGAUUGGAGAAGAUCAGUCUACAUCCCAAUCCCAAAGAAGGGCAGUGCCAAAGAAUGCUCCAACUACCGCACAAUUGUGCUCAUUUCACACCCUAGCAAGGUUAUGCUUAAAAUUCUACAAGGCAGGCUUAAGCAGUAUGUGGACCGAGAACUCCCAGAGGUGCAAGCUGGAUUUCGAAGAGGCAGAGGAACCAGAGACCAAAUUACAAACAUGCACUGGAUUAUGGAGAAAGCUAGAGAGUUCCAGAAAAACAUCUACUUCUGCUUCACCGACUACACAAAAGCCUUUGACUAUGUCAACCAUCCUAUGGCAAGUUCUUAAAGAAAUGGGAGGGCCUGAUCACCUCAUCUGUCUCCUGAGAAAUCUCUAUGUGGGACAAGAAGCUACAGUUAGAACUGGAUAUGGAACAACUGAUUUGUUCAAAAUUGGGAAAGAAGCACGACAAGGCUGUAUAUUGUCUCCCUGCUUAUUUAACUUAUAUGCAGAAUGCAUCAUGCGAAAGGCUGGACUGGAUGAAUCCCAAGCCGGAAUUAAGAUUGCCGGAAGAAAUAUCAACAACCUCAGAUAUGCAGAUGACACAACCUUGAUGGCAGAAAGUGAGGAAGAAUUAAAAAACCUCUUAAUGAGGGUGAAAGAGGAGAGCGCAAAAUAUAGUCUGAAGCUCAACAUCAAAAAAUGAAGAUCAUGGCCACUGGUCUCAUCACCUCCUGGCGAAUAGAAGGGGAAGAAACGGAGGCAGUGAGAGAUUUUACUUUCUUGGGCUCCAUGAUCACUGCAGAUGGUGACAGCAGUCACAAAAUUAAAAGACGCCUGCUUCUUGGGAGAAAAGCGAUAACAAACCUAGACAGCAUCCUAAAAAGCAGAGACAUCACCUUGCCGAACAAGGUCCGUAUAGUUAAAGCUAUGGUUUUCCCAGUAGUGAUGCAUGAAAGUGAGAGCUGGACCAUAAAGAAGGCUGAUUGCCGAAGAAUUGAUGCUUUUGAAUUACGGUGCUGGAGGAGACUCUUGAGAGUCCCAUGGACUGCAAGAAGAUCAAACCUAUCCAUUCUGAAGGAAAUCAGCCCUGAGUGCUCACUGGAAGGACAGAUCCUGAAGCUGAGACUCCAAUACUUUGGCCACCUCAUGAGAAGAGAAGACUCCCUGGAAAAGACCCUGAUGUUGGGAAAGAUGGAGGGCACAAGGAGAAGGGGACAACAGAGGACGAGAUGGUUGGACAGCGUUCUCGAAGCUACCAACAUGUGUUUGACCAAACUGCGGGAGGCAGUGAAAGACAGGAGUGCCUGGCGUGCUCUGGUCCAUGGGGUCACGAAGAGUCGGACACGACUAAACGACUGAAACAACAACAACACUACUACUACCCAACCCACUCUGGGUGGCUUCCAAAACACAGAACAACUUUCAGAUGUCUUCUAAAAGUUGUAUAGGUUUUUUAUUUUCUCGACAUCUGAUGGGAGGGUGUCAGAAUCAGAAGAAUCUUUAUUUGCAUCAGCCACUAGCCAUAGCAAUAAAAUAAAAUAAAAUGUACUGAAGAUAGAGGUAAAAGCUUAACUAUAGAAAAUACAUUUUGGGGGUUUACAUCAAUGAUCAAAUAAUAGAUCUUAUUCUAAUUGCCCCCGCUAAAAACCUUGGGAGGGUGUCCUCUACUAGGUUCCCUGCAACCUCAUUUUUCACAGGGAGGGAACUGUCAAAUGGUCCUCAAAGCUAGAUCUUUGUGUCCAGGCUAAAUGGCAGAGGUGGAGACUAGGUAGAUAGGGCCAAAACCUUUAAGGGCUUUAAAUGAAUUAGGAAGCUUUAACAUGCAGCUGGCAUGGUCAGAGUCAUGUUUAAAAGAUCAGAUUUCAAAAACACGACAUUCCAAAAAUUUCCACUUGGACAUUUCUCCAAAUUUUGAACGGAUUCAUUUAUUAUUAUGUUGUGCUAUAAAUCUGAUCCUGUCUUAAUUUGAGCCACAUCUUUCUGUGUCAGGAUUGAGAUUAGGAGAACCUGAAGUAUUUGGGAAGAUUCUGGGCAGCAAAAUUAUGUCUGAGCCCUGGCAAGUCGCUUCUUGGAAUCCUUUGCCCCUAACUGCAUCUCUCUCUUUUUCCCACAAAGAUAAGCUGAACAUGAGUGACGCACCAGUGGGAAAGUUCAGCUUUCACCGCAGCAUCCAUGAUUCAUUUCCGGACUCUGCCCUAGCCUACAGCAAGGUACAGAGCCUAGGGUGCCUCGUUUUCCCUCUCUAAACUGGCAGCAAGGUACGAGUGCUGACGCAGGAGAAGAGAAUGAAGCCAGCGGGAAUGGAAGCACAAUCCACUCCAAGUGGCAGUUUUCAGGCUUGUCCGCAUGUGAGCAUCAUUUAGUUGUAAACCCACUUGCCUGCCAUUUGGAUUAGGCCAAAGUGGUCCACACCCUCACAUUUCUGAAUUUGUAUAACUAGAGCUUGCCGACAAAGGACCGUAUAGUUAAUGCUAUGGUUUUCCCAGUAGUGAUGUAUGGAAGUGAGAGCUGGACCAUAAAGAAGGCUGAUCACCGAAAAAUUGAUGCUUUUGAAUUAUGGUGCUGGAGGAGACUCUUGAGAGUCCCAUGGACUGCAAGAAGAUCAAACCGAUCCAUUCUGAAGGAAAUCAGCCCUGAGUGCUCACUGGAAGGACAGAUCCUGAAGCUGAGGCUCCAAUACUUUGGCCACCUCAUGAGAAGAGAAGACUCCCUGGAAAAGACCCUGGUGUUGGGAAAGAUGGAGGGCACAAGGAGAAGGGGACGACAGAGGACGAGAUGGUUGGACAGUGUUCUUGAAGCUACCAGCAUGAGUUUGACCAAACUGCGGGAGGCAGUGGAAGACAGGAGUGCCUGGCGUGCUCUGGUCCAUGGGGUCACGAAGAGUCGGACACGACUAAACAACAAAUAACUACAGCCUUUCCCAUUCAUGUCACUAGUUAUUCCCUUUUGUGUUUGCUGUAGGGCAAGGCUUAACAGCUGGCACAAAAUUGCUCUAAUGCCACUUUUCUCUCAGGUUGAUUCCAAUCAAGAGUAUAUUGUGAAAAUGGUGUUUCUCAUGCACACAAGUUUUUGAAGCAAUGGCGGAUUUCCUCUGAUCGGGAGGAAUCCGCUUCGUGAGAAUUAGGGUCUGGACCACCGUGGCGAGGCGGAGACCCAUCAAAAACCCUAGGCGGGAGAAGCCUGUGGACGUGGGAUUCGGCUGGCACCUUUUGCGCCUCCCCUACUCGCGGGGAAACCCGGUUUCGGGGAUCCGGAGCGACGUGGAGUGAAUGGCGUGGUGCUUCGAAUCGACUGCUCUUUUCACGGAGUGAAGCCGCAUUGCUGUUGCCGGAGAGCGCUGACUUUUUCCUGUGGACAAUUGGAUUUUAAACAACUGCCCGUGAGUAGAACGGAAAAUUGGACUAUGAAACUUCUUAAUUUGGCACCGAAGCGGGAAGGUCUAAACAGGAAGUCCGCCUUCUGCUUUUGUAAAUAGAUUGAAGCAAAGACAUUGCAAGCUAGAGUCUGGAAAGUCAUUUGCAAAGGACUAAAUUUCCAUCAGUUAAAAUUACUAAACCCCCCUUGGAAGCAGGAGAAGACGGAGGAAUCUUUUUAGACUGUUUAACCUGCAGAAGAGAGAGUAAAGAAAGAUAAAUUUCCACCGUCUUGAACCUGGGAGCGGGGUGUCAGGACAGACGCUUUGGGGAAGUUCAUUGACUGUGGAUAAAACGUUUUUGACAGAUAGUUAAAAAAGAGAAACAUAUUGAUUCCAAUGUUCCCUUUUCACUUAAAAGGAACAAAAUAUCUGAAAUAUCUGAAAAACGAAAGGAACUUUGUUGCUAGAUCUGCACUUAAAAAGACGGAUACAAAUAGAAAUUGUUUCCCCUAGAGGGAGCUUGUGAAACUGUUGCUAGAGUCGAUCUGGGGAAUUUUGCAGCUGUAGAGAUUAAAGAUCGUGAGACCAGACUUUGACCUUGAACAAGAAUGUGCCCAGAAGAAGCUUUAGUGCUUGCUUUUGCAAGACAAGCGCUUUACUGGAACAGCUACAUGAGAAGAUGGAUUUGAUGACUGUUGCAGUUGGAAAUUUUGGACAAACAGUGAAUACCUAUAUAGAAACCACUCAGGAAUUAAUCCAGGAAAGUGCUUUGACAGAGCAAGUGGUGAAGAAGAUAAAGGAGGAGGUUGUUGCUGAACCUCAAAUAGCAGAAGUGGAGAGAGCUGCAGUCUUGCAGGAACAUAAGUUGUUGUUUUUGACGACUGAACCUGGAGAAAGUCAGAUUUGGAGAGAUGGAGUACUGUUUGGUUUGGAGAUGGGAAGCUGGAUAGAUCCCCCUAUGCAGGGAUGCUUUGGCUUUUCGGAUCUGGCUUUGGGCCAGGGGGAGUUUGGAGUUGUGGGGGCUCUUAACCUUGGAGGGACUUUGAAACAUGCCUUUAAAUAUCUUAUGGAUUUCAGUGUCGACUAUGGAGAAUGGGCUGACUUAUUGAGAAGGGAUAAAGAUAUUGUCAAGUUGGAGUCUCCCCGAGAGAAAGGAAGGAAAUUAAGAAAAAGAUCAGCAGAAGAUAAAGUAAAGUACAGGUAUAAACAUGAAGAAGACGUGCGGAAGGGACAUGGAAAAGACUUAAGAGCCUCGGAUAGAAGGUCACCAGGUUGAUGGACUAGAUGGAUGGGAUAGAAAGGACUGACAAAACCCGAGACCAGGAAGAAGAGACGAUGGAUGAAGAUUGGAAGAAAGUUUUAAAAAUUCAUUUGGAAAAUUAUUGUAAAACUAAUGAGUAUUAGAAAAAUGUUGGAAUGAAACUAUUUGGCUUUAGCAGAGAUGUUAAAAAGAAUUAUGUAUAAAUAUGUUAUGCUAAAAAGAAUUAGGUAUAAAUAAGACUUAAGUUUUAAGCUGAAACCUGGUGGGAUAAGUCCCACGAUUGGAAUGUAAUAAUGGGGGGAUACAAUCUAUUUCAGAGAAACAGACCAGACAAGAAAGGAGGAGGAGUGGCGUUAUAUGUCAGGGAUGUGUAUACCUGUGAAGAGAUCCAAGAUUUAGAACCUCAAAGCCAAAGUGAGAGCAUUUGGGUCAAAAUUAAGGGAGAGAAGAAUAACAGUGACCUCAUUGUGGGAAUUUACUAUAGAUCCCUAAGCCAAACGGAGGACAUAGAUGAUGCCUUCCUGGAACAGAUGGCCAAGCAUGCAAAAGGAAGGGAGAUAGUAGUAAUGGGGACUUCAAUUACCCGGAUAUUUGUUGGAUGUCAAACUCAGCCAAGAGCAUAAGGUCAAACAGAUUCCUCACUGGCCUUGCAGACAACUUCAUUGUCCAGAAAGUGGGAGAAGCAACAAGAGGAACAGCCAUUUUAGAUCUGGUCCUAACCAAUGUUGAUGACCUGGUUAGUGGGGUAGAAGUGGAAGGAUCAUUAGGCGCGAGUGAUCAUGCUCUUCUGAAGUUUACUAUACAGCGGAAAGGAGCAGCCAAGCAUACUAGGACUCAAUUUCUUGACUUUAAGAAAGCUGACUUCAUAAAACUUAGGGAAGUGCUGGGUGAGAUCCCAUGGACAGUAAUACUAAAAGAAAGGGAGUUCAUGAUGGCUGGGAGUUUGUUAAGAGGGAGAUACUAAAAGCACAACGUCAGGCAAUACCAAUGAGACAGAAACAUGGAAGGUGCCUAAAGAAGCCAGGGUGGCUAUCUAAAGAACUUUUAACUGAGUUAAGAUUUAAAAAGGAUGUGUACAAAAAUGGAAAAGGGGGAAACCACCAAAGAGGAAUUCAAACAAAUAGCCAGCACGUGUAGACACAAAGUCAGAAAAGCUAAAGCACAGAAUGAACUCAGGCUUGCUAGAGAGGUUAAAAGCAACAAAAAGGCUUUUAUGGGUAUGUCAGUAGCAAAAGGAAGAACAAAGAAACAGUGGGGUCACUCAGAGGAGAAGAUGGUGAAAUGCAAACAGGGGACACAGAAAGGGCUGAACUCCUCAAUGCCUUCUUUGCCUCAGUCUUCUCCGAUAAAGAAAACAAUGCCCGACCUGAAGAAUUUGGAGCAAAUGAUUCAGCAAAGGAAACACAGCCCAGAAUAACUAAGGAGAUAGUACAAGAAUACUUGGCUAGUUUAGAUGUAUUCAAGUCUCCAGGGCCAGAUGAACUGCAUCCAAGAGUAUUAAAAGAACUGGCAGAUGUGAUCUCAGAACCACUGGCAGUCAUCUUUGAGAAUUCCUGGAGAACAGGCGAAGUCCCGGCAGACUGGAGGAGGGCAAAUGUUGUCCCUAUUUUCAAAAAGGGGAAAAGAGAGGACCCAAAUAAUUACCGCCCAGUCAGUCUGACAUCAAUACCAGGGAAGAUUCUGGAGCAGAUCAUUAAGCAAACAGUCUGUGAGCACCUAGAAAGGAAUGCUGUGAUCACCAAUAGUCAGCAUGGAUUUCUGAAAAAUAAGUCAUGUCAGACUAACCUGAUCUCGUUUUUUGACAGAAUUACAAGCCUGGUAGAUGAAGGGAACGCAGUGGAUGUAGCCUACCUUGAUUUCAGCAAGGCAUUUGACAAGGUGCCUCAUGAUAUUCUUGUAAAGAAGCUGGUAAAAUGUGGUCUUGACUAUGCUACCACUCAGUGGAUUUGUAACUGGCUGACUGACCGAACCCAAAGGGUGCUCAUCAAUGGUUCCUCUUCAUCCUGGAGAAGAGUGACUAGUGGGGUGCCACAGGGUUCUGUCUUGGGCCCGGUCUUAUUCAACAUCUUUAUCAACGACUUGGAUGAUGGACUCAAGGGCAUCCUGAUCAAAUUUGCAGAUGACACCAAAUUGGGAGGGGUGGCUAACACCCCAGAGGACAGGAUCACACUUCAAAACGACCUUGACAGAUUAGAGAACUGGGCCAAAACAAACAAGAUGAAUUUUAACAGGGAGAAAUGUAAAGUAUUGCACUUGGGCAAAAAAAUGAGAGGCACAAAUACAAGAUGGGUGACACCUGGCUUGAGAGCAGUACAUGUGAAAAGGAUCUAGGAGUCUUGGUUGACCACAAACUUGACAUGAGCCAACAGUGUGACGCGGCAGCUAAAAAGCCAAUGCAAUUCUGGGCUGCAUCAAUAGGAGUAUAGCGUCUAGAUCAAGGGAAGUAAUAGUGCCACUGUAUUCUGCUCUGGUCAGACCUCACCUGGAGUACUGUGUCCAGUUCUGGGCACCACAGUUCAAGAAGGACAUUGACAAACUGGAACGUGUCCAGAGGAGGGCAACCAAAAUGGUCAAAGACCUGGAAACGAUGCCUUAUGAGGAACGGCUAGGGAGCUGGGCAUGUUUAGCCUGGAGAAGAGGAGGUUAAGGGGUGAUAUGAUAGCCAUGUUCAAAUAUAUAAAAGGAUGUCACAUAGAGGAGGGAGAAAGGUUGUUUUCUGCUGCUCCAGAGAAGCGGACACAGAGCAAUGGAUCCAAACUACAAGAAAGAAGAUUCCACCUAAACAUUAGGAAGAACUUCCUGACAGUAAGAGCUGUUCGACAGUGGAAUUUGCUGCCAAGGAGUGUGGUGGAGUCUCCUUCUUUGGAGGUCUUUAAGCAGAGGCUUGACAACCAUAUGUCAGGAGUGCUCUGAUGGUGUUUCCUGCUUGGCAGGGGGUUGGACUCGAUGGCCCUUGUGGUCUCUUCCAACUCUAUGAUUCUAUGAUUCUAUGAUUCUAAGCUUUAGGGUUUUUAUGGUAAGAUAAGGUUAAAAUAGAUUAAGGUAAUCUAAUGACAGAAUAUUGUGAAAGAUGGAAAGGAUUUGCUGAGAUAAUUAAUAACUAGAAUACAAAAAAGGGAGGUGGGAGGAGGUCCAUGAAACAAGUUAAUGAAAGAUAAAGAUUUGGGAAUAUUGGAUUUGUUUUUAAAUCUUUUGUUUAUUUUUGCUCUUUGAUUUUGAUGUAUUGUGUGAUUUGUUUUUUUUCCCCCUUCGACUUUUGUUUUUAUUGACUUGUAUUGUUUAAUUUCUCUUUUUGUCUACUUUUUUCCUUUUUUUUCUUGUUUCUUUCUUUCUUUUUCUGUAAUUUUAAAUUUUCAAUAAAUAUCAUUAAAAAAAACAAAAGAACAGCAACCAUUUCACUAUACAGUGGUACCUCGGGUUAAGUACUUAAUUCGUUCCAGAGGUCCGUUCUUAACCUGAAACUGUUCUUAACCUGAAGCACCACUUGAGCUAAUGGGGCCUCCUGCUGCUGCCGCGCUGCUGCUGCACAAUUUCUGUUCUCAUCCUGAAGCAAAGUUCUUAACCUAAAGCACUAUUUCUGGGUUAGCAGAUUCUGUAACCUGAAGUGUAUGUAACCUGAGGUACCACUGUAAAAAGGAAAAGGGAAAAGGAAAUAGUGUGAGGAAACCAGUAAUUAAAGCUCCCUCCUUUCAUUUGUCUCCCCGUCAUUAUCAACAGGAAGUGAUGUAACAGGCAGGAUUUCUGCACAGGAAGCUUUUAAUUAAUAUUGAGAAGGACCUUUGCUGAAUGGGGUGUGAGUUAACAUUGUCAAAGAUGUUGGCCCUGUGGAGGUCACUUCUGGGUGACAUCUCUCCAUAUUAAAUGCUGCAUAUGGGCCACUAACGCAGAAGCACCGCAGCCUGGUUCUGUUGUGCUGUUGGUGUGGAUAUUGGCACUUGCUGCCCUAGAUUUCCAGAAGCGCAGCUUCCCUGUUUGGAGCCAAGAUCAUCUCUAAUUGCCAGGUUUGAGGGGCUGAUGGCAAGGAAUGGAUAUUCCUAUCUUGCCCUGCCUGGGAUUCUCUUUGGCAUCCCGUUCACCACCUGAAGGAGCAUCUCCACCCCCAUCGUUCAGCCCGGACACUGAGGUCCAGCUCCAAGCGCCUUGUGGCAUUUCCCUCACUGCAAGAAGUAAAGUUACAGGGAACCAGGCAGAGGGCCUUCUUGGUAGUGGCACCCGCCCUGUGGAAAGCCCUCCCGUCAGAUGUCAAGGAAAUAAACAACUACAGUAUCUGACUUUUAGAAGACAUCUGAAGGCAACUCUCUAGCAAGACAAAUAAAGCUGUCUGUCACGUUAAACCUAGGCAGAUAAAUGGUUCUGCAGCUGGUGCCAAACAGAUAAGAGACUGUCCCUGUUUGGGGUGAGAUUCAAUCACAUACUGACAAACUCAGGUUGCACAAUUACAUUGAUUUGAAGCUUUUGCACAAGAAACCCACUUUCCCGAAAGAUCGGACUUUUUGUGAUAAGGAAAGCGACAGGAACAUGCACUAGAAAAUGUGGAAUAACACUUGCUCAAUGUAAUGUUGUCUAAGCUCCCGGCAAACAAAUAAGAAUGAAUGGUUUUCAGGUGUAAAAAUGUUGCCAUUUUUAAUCUCUAAUGCUUUACAAUUUUUUAUGUAAGCCACCCAGAGUGGCUGGGGAAAC